rnacentral:rRNA from 1 species
UGGGGAAUAUUGCACAAUGGGCGCAAGCCUGAUGCAGCCAUGCCGCGUGUAUGAAGAAGGCCUUCGGGUUGUAAAGUACUUUCAGCGGGGAGGAAGGUGUUGAGGUUAAUAACCUCAGCAAUUGACGUUACCCGCAGAAGAAGCACCGGCUAACUCCGUGCCAGCAGCCGCGGUAAUACGGAGGGUGCAAGCGUUACUCGGAAUUACUGGGCGUAAAGCGCACGCAGGCGGUCUGUCAAGUCGGAUGUGAAAUCCCCGGGCUCAACCUGGGAACUGCAUUCGAAACUGGCAGGCUAGAGUCUUGUAGAGGGGGGUAGAAUUCCAGGUGUAGCGGUGAAAUGCGUAGAGAUCUGGAGGAAUACCGGUGGCGAAGGCGGCCCCCUGGACAAAGACUGACGCUCAGGUGCGAAAGCGUGGGGAGCAAACA